UACAGAGGGUGCAAGCGUUAAUCGGAAUUACUGGGCGUAAAGCGUGCGUAGGUGGUCUGUUAAGUCAGGUGUGAAAUCCUUGGGCUCAACCUGAGAAUUGCAUUUGAUACUGACAGACUGGAGUGUGGUAGAGGGUAGUGGAAUUCCCGGUGUAGCGGUGAAAUGCGUAGAUAUCGGGAGGAACAUCAGUGGCGAAGGCGGCUACCUGGACUAACACUGACACUGAGGCACGAAAGCGUGGGUAGCAAACAGG
rnacentral:rRNA from 1 species